GGUUCAACAUAGCAAUAUUUUCUUCUGCUUGUAAAGCGAUUUCUCACAUAGAACUAUAAAAAGAGUAAAAAAUAGCCAGAUUAUAUAAAGGGAAAAAAAUCUUGUGAGUCCGUUACAAAAUAUGAGUUCAACGUGAUUUGAACUCAAACGUUUAUCGAGAUAGGCCAAACGACCUACCACUAAGCCACCAGGGACGAGCUGAAAUUCUUGUGAAAUUAAAGACAAUAGUAGAUUGUUGUGACCUGCUUAUCUCAUGCGGUGAGGGAGACUAUUAUGCGGUGAAUGGCGGUGAAUGCGGUGAAAGGAUUCAAUAUGAAAUCAACACAGAAUGAUUAGCUGGAUCUCUUCGGGCCAGGUUCAACAUAGCAAUAUUUUCUUCUGCUUGUAAAGCGAUUUCUGACAUAGAACUAUAAAAAAGAGUAAAAAAUAGCCAGAUUAUAUAAAGGGAAAAAAAUAUUGUGAGUCCGCUACAAAAUAUGAGUUCAACGGGAUUUGAACUCAAACGUUUAUCGAGAUAGGCCAAACGACCUACCACUAAGCCACCGAGGGAGAACGAAAGUUUAUGUCAAAUUAAACACUAUAGCUAAUUGUCGUGACGCGCUUAUCUUAUGCGGUGAAAUAGUUUAUUAGGCGGUGAAUUGCGGUGAAGAAUUUUGGCAGUUCGAGGCAACUUAGAACGCCAUGGUGGCAGCACUUUCCUUGCGAUAGUAACUUCUAGUAUUUGCUUAUACUGUAUGUUGUAUUUGAGCCGAAGUAUACGGUAUACCACACUCAAUUUGACUCUUUAAACUAUAUGGCAGCUUCUCUCAAACAGCCAAAACUAGUUACACGAGUUGAAAUAAAACACCUCAAAUAAUAUCGAAAGGAAUUAUCUGUUAGAAAUGAUUGGAUCUCUUCGAGCCAGGCUCAACAUACCAAUAUUUCCAACUACUUGCAAAGCGAUUUCUCAUAUAAAGAUGUAAAAAGAAUAAAAACAGCUGGAUAGAAAUAAAAGGAAAAAAUAUUGAAAAUAUGAACUCGACGCGAUUCGAACUCAAAGGUUUGUCGAGACAGGCCAAACGAGCUACCACUAAGCCACCAGGGGACGAAUUAAAAACAAUAGUAGAUUGUUGUGACCUGCUUAUCUUAUGUGGUGAAGAAGAUUCUAUUGGGCGGUGAAUGCGGAGAAAGGAUUCAAUAUGAAGUCAAUACAGAAUGAUUAGCCUGAUCUCUUCGGGCCAGGUUCAACAUAGCAAUAUUUUCUUCUGCUUGUAAAGCGAUUUCUCACAUAGAAAUAUAAAAAGAAUAAAUAAUAGCCAGAUUAUAUAAAGGGAAAAAAAUAUUGUGAGUCCGCUACAAAAUAUGAGUUCAACGG